rnacentral:rRNA from 1 species
UUGCGGUAAAAAAGCUCGUAGUUGGAUUCCUGUUGAGGGCGACCGGUCCAUACCAUGUAUGCGCAUCUGGCUCGGCCUCGGCAUCCUCUCGAUAGACGUUUCUGCGCUUCAUUGCGUGGAGCAGAUUUCGGGACUUUUACUUUGAGGAAAUUAGAGUGUUCACGGCAGGCUAUCGCCAGAAUACAUUAGCAUGGAAUAAUACUAUAGGAUCUUGGUUCUAUUUUGUUGGUUUCUAGAAUUGAGAUAAUGAUUAAUAGGGACAAUUGGGGGCAUUCGUAUCAACACGUCAGAGGUGGAAUUCUUGGAUUGUGUUGCGACGAACUACUGCGAAAGCAUUUGCCAAGGAUGUUUUCAUUGAUCAAGAACGAAAGUAAGGGGAUCGAAGACGAUUAGAUACCGUCGUAGUCUUUACCAUAAACUAUG